rnacentral:rRNA from 1 species
GAUGAACGCUGGCGGCGUGCCUAAUACAUGCAAGUCGAGCGAACGGACGAGAAGCUUGCUUCUCUGAUGUUAGCGGCGGACGGGUGAGUAACACGUGGAUAACCUACCUAUAAGACUGGGAUAACUUCGGGAAACCGGAGCUAAUACCGGAUAAUAUUUUGAACCGCAUGGUUCAAAAGUGAAAGACGGUCUUGCUGUCACUUAUAGAUGGAUCCGCGCUGCAUUAGCUAGUUGGUAAGGUAACGGCUUACCAAGGCAACGAUGCAUAGCCGACCUGAGAGGGUGAUCGGCCACACUGGAACUGAGACACGGUCCAGACUCCUACGGGAGGCAGCAGUAGGGAAUCUUCCGCAAUGGGCGAAAGCCUGACGGAGCAACGCCGCGUGAGUGAUGAAGGUCUUCGGAUCGUAAAACUCUGUUAUUAGGGAAGAACAUAUGUGUAAGUAACUGUGCACAUCUUGACGGUACCUAAUCAGAAAGCCACGGCUAACUACGUGCCAGCAGCCGCGGUAAUACGUAGGUGGCAAGCGUUAUCCGGAAUUAUUGGGCGUAAAGCGCGCGUAGGCGGUUUUUUAAGUCUGAUGUGAAAGCCCACGGCUCAACCGUGGAGGGUCAUUGGAAACUGGAAAACUUGAGUGCAGAAGAGGAAAGUGGAAUUCCAUGUGUAGCGGUGAAAUGCGCAGAGAUAUGGAGGAACACCAGUGGCGAAGGCGACUUUCUGGUCUGUAACUGACGCUGAUGUGCGUAAGCGUGGGGAUCAAACAGGAUUAGAUACCCUGGUAGUCCACGCCGUAAACGAUGAGUGCUAAGUGUUAGGGGGUUUCCGCCCCUUAGUGCUGCAGCUAACGCAUUAAGCACUCCGCCUGGGGAGUACGACCGCAAGGUUGAAACUCAAAGGAAUUGACGGGGACCCGCACAAGCGGUGGAGCAUGUGGUUUAAUUCGAAGCAACGCGAAGAACCUUACCAAAUCUUGACAUCCUUUGACAACUCUAGAGAUAGAGCUUUCCCCUUCGGGGGACAAAGUGACAGGUGGUGCAUGGUUGUCGUCAGCUCGUGUCGUGAGAUGUUGGGUUACGUCCCGCAACGAGCGCAACCCUUAAGCUUAGUUGCCAUCAUUAAGUUGGGCACUCUAAGUUGACUGCCGGUGACAAACCGGAGGAAGGUGGGGAUGACGUCAAAUCAUCAUGCCCCUUAUGAUUUGGGCUACACACGUGCUACAAUGGACAAUACAAAGGGCAGCGAAACCGCGAGGUCAAGCAAAUCCCAUAAAGUUGUUCUCAGUUCGGAUUGUAGUCUGCAACUCGACUACAUGAAGCUGGAAUCGCUAGUAAUCGUAGAUCAGCAUGCUACGGUGAAUACGUUCCCGGGUCU